rnacentral:rRNA from 1 species
UACGAAGGGGGCUAGCGUUACUCGGAUUGACUGGGCGUAAAGGGCGCGUAGGCGGCUUGUACAGUCAGACGUGAAAUUCCUGGGCUCAACCUGGGGGCUGCGUUUGAUACGUGCGGGCUUGAGUUCGGAAGAGGGUCGUGGAAUUCCCAGUGUAGAGGUGAAAUGCGCAGAUAUCAGGAAGAACACCAAUGGCGAAGGCAGCUCUCUGGGACGGUACUGACGCUGAGACGCGAAAGCGUGGGGAGCGAACAGG